GAGUUUGAUCCUGGCUCAGAUUGAACGCUGGCGGCAGGCUUAACACAUGCAAGUCGAGCGGGGAGAUUGCUUCGGUAAUUGACCUAGCGGCGGACGGGUGAGUAAUACUUAGGAAUCUGCCUAUUAAUGGGGGACAACAUCUCGAAAGGGAUGCUAAUACCGCAUACGCCUACGGGGAAAGCAGGGGAUCACCUGUGACCUUGCGUUAAUAGAUGAGCCUAAGUCGGAUUAGCUAGUUGGUGGGGUAAAGGCCUACCAAGGCGACGAUCUGUAGCGGGUCUGAGAGGAUGAUCCGCCACACUGGGACUGAGACACGGCCCAGACUCCUACGGGAGGCAGCAGUGGGGGAAUAUUGGACAAUGGGGGGAACCCGUGAUCCAGCCAUGCCGCGUGUGUGAAGAAGGCCUUAUGGUUGUAAAGCACUUUAAGCGAGGAGGAGGCUCCUGUAGUUAAUACCUACAGAGAGUGGAC
rnacentral:rRNA from 1 species